UUUCUUUCUCCUGCUCCCCUCCUCCCUCAUUUUUCACUAUUUCAUUUUAAGGGUCGAUUGCGGAUGACAGUGGUGUCGCAGUUGGAGAUGCGACUGUUGGGAACCGCACUUGGAGCUGCGAUUGGUUGGUGUUUGCCGCACUUGGGAGCUACGAUUAAGGGCCGCCGUAGUUGGAAGUCUGGAUGAGGGUAGUGCGGCUGUUGGGAACCGCACUUCGAGUUGCGGUUUAGUAUACUAACCUAAUAAAGUUGGUGCAGAAAGC
rnacentral:sRNA from 1 species